rnacentral:rRNA from 1 species
GACGAACGCUGGCGGCGUGCCUAACACAUGCAAGUCGAGCGGAGUCGAUCGACGGAAGCCUUCGGGCGGAAGAUGGUUGACUUAGCGGCGGAUGGGUGAGUAACGCGUGGGCAACCUGCCUCGAAGACCGGGAUAACAGCCCGAAAGGGCUGCUAAUACCGGAUGUGGUCAAGGAUCCGCAUGGAUUUUUGAUUAAAGGGGAAACCCGUUUCGAGAUGGGCCCGCGUCCUAUCAGCUAGUUGGUGAGGUAAAAGCUCACCAAGGCGACGACGGGUAGCCGGCCUGAGAGGGUGACCGGCCACACUGGAACUGAGACACGGUCCAGACUCCUACGGGGGGCAGCAGUGGGGAAUCUUCCACAAUGGGCGAAAGCCUGAUGGAGCGACGCCGCGUGAGCGAAGAAGGCCUUCGGUUGUAAGCUCUGUCUGGAGGGACGAAGGAAGUGACGGUACCUCCGGAGGAAGCCACGGCUAACUACGUG